AGCAAACAAAAAAAGCACCCACACAAAACCCCACAACUACAGUUAGCCUACUUGGCUUAUGCGCUGUGAUGCAAACCCAGCUUUUUUUUUCUCUCUCUUCUACAGUACACAAGGAAAUUCUGGGCUGAAACCCCCUCCCCCCACUUCCUAACAGAGGGGCCUCUGCUACCAACUCCACGCAUUCCCUCUAACUUCUGCCUCCUGCAAAUUGAAAAACAUCACAUACCACAUCAUUUAAGUUUGGUUCAAUAUUAAAAGUUUUUCCACAAAGCUUAAGUGCUUGUUUCAAUUUAUGGGUUAGAAGAGGAGAGGAAUAAGGGCCUUUAGUGGAGCAAAAGGACAUUGAAGAAUUCCUGCAGUUAGGAGUCAUCUGAGUCAGGCUGCUGCAGACCACGUUCUGAGAUGCCCUCACAAACCAUGAUAAAUGAGACCAUGAUUUCCCUGGUGUGCCUAGGGAGAGUGACGUUUUCCCGGACAUUAGCUCCCCGAUACGCUCUUCCAAGCUGCUGACCUUUGGAGUGCAUGCAAGAAGUCACCCUUGAGGGGAGUGGGCCUGAAAACUGCUGCUUAACGACCACCGACAGGCUCUUCACAACUGAAAAAAACAAAAUUUAAUGGACAUUCAGGAAUCUGAAAACAGAGCUACAAAACUGCAAGUCAGGAUUUUCAGCAACUGCAAACCAGGUUAUGGCUGAAAAAUAAUUAAAAGUAAUGCUACCCAUUACCAAGGCUGAAGGCUGUCAAUAAGAUUUGUACAUCAUGAUGAAAGUAAUAGGGACAAGUAGCUCCACGUGACAGGUAUAUUUUUAAAAUAAGUGUUUCUAUUUAAAACCAGAAAACUGUUUAAGCAGUGUUACUAUCAGGAGAAACUCUCCCUGUAAAAUGCAGUAUCAGCAAGAGGACAAGCAAUGACUAAAAAGCAAUCUGAAGAGUCCAGUGAGGCAGAAAAUGGGCUUGCUGGAGUCACAAAAGGCAAACGUAGUUUUAAGCAGACAAGAACACGACCAAGCAUCACCGGAGGCAAGAAGUACUCAGCGUCUGGAAGAUAGGAAAUCAUGACUUCUACCGCAGAAGACCUACUUAUUCUACCCUGCUAUCUGUUGGGGAUAAGAAUAUAUUCAUGCAAGUAAUGCCAGAAUUCGAGAUCGCCUCUCAGAGCGCAGGAAGUUCGCUGUCUCUAAAGAACCUCUCUGGAAACUUCUGGAAGAUAAAAAUGUUUUGAUGAAAAAAUAAAGAACAAGCUACAGUUUUCAGCCCUCUCCCCCACCCCGUCCCUACCAAUAUUCUUGUCACGCGACUAUAGAUCAUAAUCAGCUUCUUCUUAGUUUUGAUUGCUUUGAAUGUUGUUUUGUAAAAGAAAGGAAGAGACAAACAUCAAAAGUGUAAAAUAUCAAGAAUCAGAUCUCGGAGGUAGGGGAACAUGACCAAACCAAAAACUACAAUCAUAAGAACACUCAAAUCAAAAAAGUUACUUUGUUUCUGUUGGGGAAAUCAGGCUAAGAAUCUAGCUACAAGGCUUACAAGUACUGUAGUCUAAGUCUAAACAGUACAGUCUUGAAGGUACCAUCUUUAAAAGCAAAGAGCCUUUAUCUGCCAACCCCCCAAACUCUUGUGAUUUCCGCACAUCCCUUCCUUUCUUUUACCUUUGGUUGAGCAACAACUCAGCCCAUGAGCAGGAACCUACUCUAGAGGCCUAUCAGUUAUUUCUUCAGCCUAGUAAAACGAGGGCAGUUGCAGACAGCAUACACUUCCAGCGUAACUACGACCACAUUAUCCACAUUAUACUAGCCUGGAGAAAUAGGUAUGGUAUUCCUUCAAGUCUUUAUCUUAUAACAAUUUUUUUCUGUACAAGAUAAUCAUAGGUGUGAUUUCUGCCCUGAAAUAAUUUUCUGUCCUUUCAUAGUGUACACAUACUAUAUUUUUCAGUAGCCUGAACUUACCUAUCUUCUUUUUUGUCCCACUUUAAUAUUCAGAGAGAUGAUGUAGGUGUGGAGUUGCUUGCCGGGCCUUUUAUCAUUCAUACAGUAUGAUCCACGCAUAGUUGAAAAUAAGACUACCCAAAUCUGUUUUCAUUACAAUUCACUACAUAUUCCAUUGCUGCCAGCCUGGCUUCUUAUGAAAUUUCUUUCUUGAAGAAUAGGUUUUGGAGAGAAAAUGCUAAUAAUGUUAGGCUGUUUUACAGCUUGUCAGUAUAACUGUUCUUAAAAGACUUUUUUUUGAUAGCA